rnacentral:rRNA from 1 species
GUACACUCCUACGGGAGGCAGCAGUGGGGAAUAUUGCACAAUGGGCGCAAGCCUGAUGCAGCCAUGCCGCGUGUAUGAAGAAGGCCUUCGGGUUGUAAAGUACUUUCAGCGGGGAGGAAGGCGAUAAGGUUAAUAACCUUGUUGAUUGACGUUACCCGCAGAAGAAGCACCGGCUAACUCCGUGCCAGCAGCCGCGGUAAUACGGAGGGUGCAAGCGUUAAUCGGAAUUACUGGGCGUAAAGCGCACGCAGGCGGUCUGUCAAGUCGGAUGUGAAAUCCCCGGGCUCAACCUGGGAACUGCAUUCGAAACUGGCAGGCUAGAGUCUUGUAGAGGGGGGUAGAAUUCCAGGUGUAGCGGUGAAAUGCGUAGAGAUCUGGAGGAAUACCGGUGGCGAAGGCGGCCCCCUGGACAAAGACUGACGCUCAGGUGCGAAAGCGUGGGGAGCAAACAGGAUUAGAUACCCGGGUAGUCCC